AUUGAACGCUGGCGGCAGGCCUAACACAUGCAAGUCGCACGAGUGGCGGACGGGUGCGUAAUGUCUGGGAAACUGCCUGAUGGAGGGGGAUAACUACUGGCAACGGUAGCUAAUACCGCAUCCCAUCAGAUGUGCCCAGAUGUGAUUAUCUAGUGGGUGGGGUAACGGCUCACAAAGGCGACGAUCCCUAGCUGGUAGGAGAGGAUGACCAGCCAAACUGGAACUGAGACACGGUCCAGACUCCUACGGGAGGCAGCAGGGGGGAAUAUUGCACAAUGGGCGCAAGCCUGAUGCAGCCAUGCCGCGUGUAUGAAGAAGGCCUUCGGGUUGUAAAGUACUUUCAGCGGGGAGGCGUUACCCGCAGAAGAAGCACCGGCUAACGCCGUGCCAGCAGCCGCGGUAAUAC
rnacentral:rRNA from 1 species